rnacentral:rRNA from 1 species
AACGAACGCUGGCGGCAUGCCUAACACAUGCAAGUCGAACGAGACCUUCGGGUCUAGUGGCGCACGGGUGCGUAACGCGUGGGAACCUGCCUUUAGGUUCGGAAUAACUCAGAGAAAUUUGAGCUAAUACCGGAUAAUGUCUUCGGACCAAAGAUUUAUCGCCUUUAGAUGGGCCCGCGUAAGAUUAGCUAGUUGGUGGGUAAAGGCCUACCAAGGCGACGAUCUUUAGCUGGUCUGAGAGGAUGAUCAGCCACACUGGGACUGAGACACGGCCCAGACUCCUACGGGAGGCAGCAGUGGGGAAUAUUGGACAAUGGGCGAAAGCCUGAUCCAGCAAUGCCGCGUGAGUGAUGAAGCCUUAGGGUUGUAAAGACUCUUUUUACCCGAGAUGAUAAUGACAGUAUCGGGAGAAUAAGCUCCGGGCUAACUCCGUGCCAAGCAGCCGCGGUAAU